AUACGGAGGGUGCAAGCGUUGUUCGGAAUUACUGGGCGUAAAGCGCGCGUAGGCGGUCUGUUAUGUCAGAUGUGAAAGUCCUCGGCUCAACCGGGGUAGUGCAUUUGAAACUGGCAGACUUGAGUACUGGAGGGGGUGGUGGAAUUCCCGGUGUAGAGGUGAAAUUCGUAGAUAUCGGGAGGAAUACCGGUGGCGAAGGCGACCACCUGGCCAGAUACUGACGCUGAGGUGCGAAAGCGUGGGGAGCAAACAGGAUUAGAUACCCCGGUAGUCC
rnacentral:rRNA from 1 species